rnacentral:rRNA from 1 species
ACUCCUACGGGAGGCAGCAGUAGGGAAUCUUCCACAAUGGGCGGCAAGCCUGAUGGAGCAACACCGCGUGAGUGAAGAAGGGUUUCGGCUCGUAAAGCUCUGUUGUUAAAGAAGAACACGUAUGAGAGUAACUGUUCAUUACGUUGACGGUAUUAACCAGAAAGUCACGGCUAACUACGUGCCAGCAGCCGCGGUAAUACGUAGGUGGCAAGCGUUAUCCGGAUUUAUUGGGCGUAAAGAGAGUGCAGGCGGUUUUCUAAGUCUGAUGUGAAAGCCUUCGGCGUUAACCGGAGAAGUGCAUCGGAAACUGGAUAACUUGAGUGCAGAAGAGGGUAGUGGAACUCCAUGUGUAGCGGUGGAAUGCGUAGAUAUAUGGAAGAACACCAGUGGCGAAGGCGGCUACCUGGUCUGCAACUGACGCUGAGACUCGAAA